GUCAAAGUCACAGUGACAUGUCAGAAAUCAACUGAAAAUUGCUAGUUAAGAAUCGCAAAUCAACGAGUGGCCCAAAUAAAAAUUUGUGCAGCGAUGACAGUGAGUGGUAACCGAAACGUUUUGAAGAAUGUUGGCGGUGUUUCCCCAUUUACAUCCACCCAAAAUCCCUCCCGUGAUUGGGUGUAGAGCGCCAAAGAAAAGAAAAAAAUAACAAAUGCUCCUCACAUGCAAGCAGUGGAUCGAACAAAAUGCUUCACAGAUGAUCAACGUCAGAAAAAUACCAUGGUCGAACACUGAAGUGAACACUAUUUUGCACUGAAAAAUAAGCUAUAAUCCGUCACUGUCAAAACAGACUAUAUUUCCUGCUAUACCUGAUUUUCAAUUAAUUUUAACAAUCUUCAAUAGAACAAGGGGAUAUUUUUAUGCCGCCGCUGAUAAGAAUUUGAUCCUGACGUUUCGUUAGCACGCAUGGCUAGCAUCUUCAAAGGUGUGUUGGCUUCAUUGUUCGAACAUUCGAGCAAAAGCCUUGGUCAUUUUAUAAAACGGAAAAAAAUCUACAACAAAACCUCCCUUUACUACUU